UUUUAAGAAAUUGGCUCAUGUAACUAUAGAGGCUGAGAAUUCCCAUUAUCUGCUGCCUUCAAGUCAGAAAUGCGGGACACCCAGCGGUGUUGCUUGAAGGUUUGAGAACCAGGAGUGCUGAGGGCAAUAGAAGAUCCCUUCAGGAGUAGCCCCAGGUAAGGGACCCCAAAGAGUGACCUCACUUCCUUGACAAUAGACCCCAACAGAACUUGGAACACUGGAAACCAAGCACCCACAUUCUAGAAACAGUCUCUCCCCAGCUCACUUGGCUGAAGAUACUAAAGAGAACUAGAUGUUAUCUAGUGUUAUCCUGCUGAUCCCAAUUUCCUAUAGUUCUGGCACCAGAAAAUCCUGAAUGAUAGGUUUUUCUGAAGCUGCUGACAUCGGGUCAGCCCUCAACACCAUCACCUUUGGCCAUGUUCAGGAAGUACUCAAAGGUAACACUGGCAGCCAAGAGCAGGCCAAUCAAUGUCUGGCCACCACCCUAAUCCCACCUGGACAGUCACACCCCACCUCCCUAUGUGUGUUCGCACAGUGGGGGUGAUAUCAUGUGGGUCUGGCCUGUCCUGAGCAGAACCUGGUGUUGGGUUGUCAGAAACCCAGUGACCCAUCACGUUCACUCUUCAGAUCAUGGCUCAAAAGUCUGCAGAGCAGAGACAAGAGAUUGACAAAGAGGUGUUGAUGAGGGCAAUAAAAGCAAAGGUGGCUUUAUCACGGUGAGCUACUUCUCACAGGAGUCGGGAUCCACAUCUGCAGACUACACAAAAACAAACAACACAGAUUAAAAG
rnacentral:lncRNA from 1 species